GACGAACGCUGGCGGCGUGCUUAACACAUGCAAGUCGAACGAAGUGGCGAACGGGUGAGUAACGCGUAAUCAACCUGCCCUUCAGAGGGGGACAACAGUUGGAAACGACUGCUCAUACCGCAUACCCAAGGAUGGGAUUGCGGCUGAUCAGCUAGUUGGAGGGGUAACGGCCCACCAAGGCGAUGAUCAGUAGCCGGUCGUAGAGGAUGGACGGCCACAUUGGGACUGAGACACGGCCCAGACUCCGACGGGAGGCAGAAGUGGGGAAUCGUCCGCAAUGGACGAAAGUCUGACGGAGCAACGCCGCGUGAGUGAUGACGGCCUUCGGGUUGUAAAGCUCUGUUAAUCGGGACGCGGUACCGGAAUAGAAAGCCACGGCUAACUACGUGCCAGCAGCCGCGGUAAUAC
rnacentral:rRNA from 1 species